rnacentral:rRNA from 1 species
UACGUAGGGAGCAAGCGUUGUCCGGAAUCAUUGGGCGUAAAGCGCGCGUAGGCGGCCCUGUAAGUCCGUUGUGAAAGUCAAAGGCUCAACCUGGGAAUUGCAUUCGAGACUGAAUAGCUAGGGUACGGUAGAGGGAAGUGGAAUUUCCGGUGUAGCGGUGAAAUGCGUAGAUAUCGGAAGGAACAUCAGUGGCGAAAGCGACUUCCUGGACCAGUACCGACGUUCAGGCACGAAAGCGUGGGGAGCAAACAGG